rnacentral:rRNA from 1 species
AUUGAACGCUGGCGGCAGGCCUAACACAUGCAAGUCGAACGGUAACAGGAAGAAGCUUGCUUCUUUGCUGACGAGUGGCGGACGGGUGAGUAAUGUCUGUGAAACUGCCUGAUGGAGGGGGAUAACUCCUGGAAACGGUAGCUAAUACCGCAUAACGUCGCAAGACCAAAGAGGGGGACCUUCGGGCCUCUUGCCCUCGGAUGUGCCCAGAUGGGAUUAGCUAGUAGGUGGGGUAACGGCUCACCUAGGCGACGAUCCCUAGCUGGUCUGAGAGGAUGACCAGCCACACUGGAACUGAGACACGGUCCAGACUCCUACGGGAGGCAGCAGUGGGGAAUAUUGCACAAUGGGCGCAAGCCUGAUGCAGCCAUGCCGCGUGUAUGAAGAAGGCCUUCGGGUUGUAAAGUACUUUCAGCGGGGAGGAAGGGAGUAAAGUUAAUACCUUUGCUCAUUGACGUUACCCGAAGAAGAAGCACCGGCUAACUCCGUG